rnacentral:lncRNA from 1 species
GCAUGCGGUGCCAACGCUUUGAGAGGGUGAAGACGGAGGCCCCGGAGAUGAGGCCCAUCAAGCCAGUUGCUCCCUGGCACAUGAUUGGCUAUGAUGGACAUCUUCCUGAAACAUGGUGCCCCGGAGGUCAUCUUGACCGACAGAGGAAGGGAGUUCUGGAAUGAGGUUGUUUCACCAUUCGUUAACAUUUUCAGC